AUAAUGCACCUGUUUAUCCCCCAGGGCUUACUAUCGAGACUGCAAAGUAUGUUGGUUGAUGUCUUUGACACACACACACACACACACACACACACACACACACACACACACACACACACACACACACACACACACACACACACACACACACACACACACACACACACGCUUUAAACUUUAAUUUUCUGAGCUACUACACAAUAAUAAUAAUAAUAUAAUAAUAAUAAUCAAAUAAAUUUUCCUUUAAUUAUCUUUCUCCAAUCUGUAACAAAGUCAUUUUCUUUGGGUCAGAAUAUUUGCUGCCCUGUUUGUAUUAAUUUAUUUAACCAGUUUUUCCCAUUUCUUUUAAUAUAUCAUGUGAAAUAUUCUUAAAAACAACAUCUCACACUUUAUGCAUCAUAGUAUUGCAACAUCUGUCAUGGAGAAUGUUGUGUGUCCUGUUACUUUAGUCGCUUCUUGUGCUUCAUUCCUGCAUAAUUCUUAGACACUCUACACCUCUACACAGUGAGAGCAUCUAUGGUUUACAGGGUGAAGCAAGUAUUUCAGUGAGACUGUGGGUGGAGUGAAUAAUUCUGCUGACAGAAAACCACUCUUCAUCUUAUGUUAGACAAACAUUCACUAUGAUGCUCUCCUUGCUGCUGCUGAUACUGCUGUUGGGCUCCAACUGCAAAGCGUCCUUCAUGGGAACAGUUGUCACCUAUUAUGCAAAAACUACAACGUCAAAUAAAACUGCUGCAGUGGUUUACACUCAGGACACCUAUGAGGGCCCGACCUCGCCAGUCUCGUGGUUAUGCAACUCUAAGGACUGUGGCUCAGCGAUCACAAAUUCAAACCACCAUACCGUGAAUUUUUUGGGAAAUUUGUAUGAGCAGCAGUACAUUUGGUAUAUGGUUCCGAACAGUGACCUUUUUCAGAUGUGGUUAUAUGGGCCCUAUUCACCAUGGGUGAGUAAUGUUGAUGGUGGUAGAAUUGGUCAAGCUGUGGCUGUGAUUGAUCUGAGAAAACGCUCUGACACCAACAAAGCCAACUCAUCACCUCAGACUGCAAUCAUACCUCUGAGAGUUCCAUCAAACUGUCAGAGAGACUUUAACCUCUUGGCCUUUGACCCUGAUGGAGACGAUGUAAGAUGCAGAUAUGGAAAUGCAUCACUGUCAGAGAGUUACACCUACAAAAAGCCACCUUUUUUCAACCUCUCAUCAUCCUGUACGUUGUCAUUCAGCCCAACAAGCAGCAGUAAGGAAGGAGCCUAUGUUGUUCAGAUGGUGAUGGAGGACUUUCCAAAGGAGAAUAUCACCCUGACUCAAACUAAUGGUUCACAGGAGGUGAAAACCAACAAUGACGCCAUCAGCAAGAUUCCAGUCCAGUUUGUUGUAAGAGUGGAUCCUGCAGUGCCAUCAUGCACAGAGGGACUUUAUCUGCCCAGGAUUCUGACUCCAAUCCCAGAUAGACUGUACACGAUUGUCAAUCAGCCUGUGCUAAUUAAUAUCACAGCAGAGGCUCUUAAUGCUUCGCUCUCACAGGUGCUGUACAGUGGCCCGUCCACCAUAAACCUAAACAGGGUAUUACCAGGACAGUACGUCAUGAGUUGGACUCCACCUGAAGAUAACGGAGGAGAAAGCCAUCCCAUCUGCUUUGUUGUCGAGGCAGAUAAUGUUCUACCCAAGUAUCACUCUGAGCUUCGAUGUGUCAUUGUUACUGUUGGCAAUGCUACAGCUACAGCUACAGCUACAAUCAACAACUCAAAUAAAGCUGUUGCUCGCUUGAUAAUGAGAGUGUCUUCUUCGUUGCCACUAGACGAUAUCAAGAAUAUCAUUACACAGCUGAUCAAAGAUGAACUGACUAUAUUAGGGUUAUCAGAUGUGGCAUUGGACUUGAACAUUGUGGCAAACACAACAAACACUGGUGGUUGAUUCGUUUUUUUUCAGUGAACUAAUUUCAGUUUUUAUUAUGUUUUUAAUUAGUGGAAUUUUGGGCCACCACUUCCACAAUCUUGGUUAAAGCGAAUGGGAUUACCUGUUGUUUUUUAUAUUUUUUUAUGGUAAUUGGCUGGAGAAACACACCUGGUUUUCAGACAUUGAAACUUGGGGUUAUAUAAUUAGUGGCAACUGAUCUACCGCUGUCACUUUUGCACCUGUAAUAAAAUUAUAAUAAAUCCAGUAACUGCCUUGAAC
ensembl:lncRNA uncharacterized LOC114846750